rnacentral:rRNA from 1 species
CCCUUAGAUGUUCUGGGCCGCACGCGUGCUACACUGAGUGGAUCAGCGGGUCAGGUUGCGCGAAAGUGUUUCCUAAUCUUUAAAUCCGCUCGUGAUGAGGAUUGACGGUUGCAAUUUUCCGUCAUGAACGAGGAAUACCUUGUAAGCGCGGGUCAUCAUCCCGCGCUGAAUACGUCCCUGCCCUUUGUACACACCGCCCGUCGCUCCUACCGAUUGAGUGGUCCGGUGAGGCUUUGGGAUCUGAGCGGAAAGAGCGUUUCGCUGUUUCUGCCCGGAAAACUCAGUCGAACCUUAUCAUUUAGAGGAAGGAGAAGUCGUAACA